rnacentral:misc_RNA from 1 species
GAUGAAAACGCAGCGAAAUGCGAUAAGUAGUGUGAAUUGCAGAAUUCAGUGAAUCAUCGAAUCUUUGAACGCACAUUGCGCCCCUUGGUAUUCCAUGGGGCAUGCCUGUUCGAGCGUCAUUUGUACCUUCAAGCUCUGCUUGGUGUUGGGUGUUUGUCUCGCCUCUGCGUGUAGACUCGCCUUAAAACAAUUGGCAGCCGGCGUAUUGAUUUCGGAGCGCAGUACAUCUCGCGCUUUGCACUCAUAACGACGACGUCCAAAAGUACAUUUUUACACUCUUGACCUCGGAUCAGGUAGGGAUACCCGCUGAACUUAAGCAUAUCAAUAAGCGGAGGA